AUUCUGUCUACUCAAAUCUUUGGAGUGAAAGGAAUUAUAGACCGGUUGUAUCGACAUCGAAUGUACUUUUCUUGUUCUGGAUA